rnacentral:rRNA from 1 species
AUUGAACGCUGGCGGCAGGCCUAACACAUGCAAGUCGAGCGGAUGAAGGGAGCUUGCUCCUGGAUUCAGCGGCGGACGGGUGAGUAAUGCCUAGGAAUCUGCCUGGUAGUGGGGGAUAACGUCCGGAAACGGGCGCUAAUACCGCAUACGUCCUGAGGGAGAAAGUGGGGGAUCUUCGGACCUCACGCUAUCAGAUGAGCCUAGGUCGGAUUAGCUAGUUGGUGGGGUAAAGGCCUACCAAGGCGACGAUCCGUAACUGGUCUGAGAGGAUGAUCAGUCACAAGGGAAUGGAGAAACGGGUCAGGAUUCUAAGGGAGGCAGGAGUGGGGAAUAGUGGAACAGGGGGGAAAAGCUGAUACAGGCAGGACGCGUGGUGGAAGGAGGUCUUGGGAUUGGAAAAGACCUUAAGGUUGGAAGAAGGGCAGGAAGGUAAUAACUUGCUGUUUUGACGGUACCAAAAGAAGAAGCACCGGCUAACUUCGUG